rnacentral:rRNA from 1 species
AGCAGUCGCCGCGGUAAUACAGAGGAUUUAAGCGUUAUCCGGAAUGAUUGGGCGUAAAGCGUCUGUAGGUGGCUUUUCAAGUCCGUCGUCAAAUCCCAGGGCUCAACCCUGGACAGGCGGUGGAAACUACCAAGCUGGAGUACGGUAGGGGCAGAGGGAAUUUCCGGUGGAGUGGUGAAAUGCGUUGAGAUCGGAAAGAACACCAACGGCAAAAGCACUCUGCUGGGCCGACACUGACACUGAGAGACGAAAGCUAGGGGAGCAAAUGGGAUUAGAUACCCCAGUAGUCCCUGUCUCUUAUAC